GACGAACGCUGGCGGCGUGCUUAACACAUGCAAGUCGAACGGUGAACUCCGCUUGCGGGUGGUUCAGUGGCACACGGGUGCGUAACACGUGGGCAACCUGCCCUCAGCUCUGGGAUAACUCCAAGAAAUUGGGGCUAAUACCGGUUAUGACCGCUGACCGCAUGGUCUGGUGUUGGAAAUAUUUAUCGGCUGGGGAUUGGCCCGAGGCCUAUGAGCUUGUUGGUUGGGUAGUUGCCUACCAAGGCGACGACGGGUAGCCGGCCUGAGAGGGUGACCGGCCACAGUGGGACAGAGACAAGGGCCAGACUCAAACGGGAGGAAGGAGUGGGGAACAGUGCGCAAAGGGCGAAAGGAGGGAGGAGCGACGCCGGGUGGGGGAUGACGGCCAUCGGGGUGUAAAAAACUUGCAGGAGAGAAGAAGCGAAAGUGACGGUACCUGUAGAAGAAGCACCGGCAAACUAGGU
rnacentral:rRNA from 1 species